rnacentral:rRNA from 1 species
AGUGAACGCUGGCGGUAGGCCUAACACAUGCAAGUCGAACGGCAGCACAGUAAGAGCUUGCUCUUACGGGUGGCGAGUGGCGGACGGGUGAGGAAUACAUCGGAAUCUACUUUUUCGUGGGGGAUAACGUAGGGAAACUUACGCUAAUACCGCAUACGACCUACGGGUGAAAGCAGGGGAUCUUCGGACCUUGCGCGAUUGAAUGAGCCGAUGUCGGAUUAGCUAGUUGGCGGGGUAAGGGCCCACCAAGGCGACGAUCCGUAGCUGGUCUGAGAGGAUGAUCAGCCACACUGGAACUGAGACACGGUCCAGACUCCUACGGGAGGCAGCAGUGGGGAAUAUUGGACAAUGGGCGCAAGCCUGAUCCAGCCAUACCGCGUGGGUGAAGAAGGCCUUCGGGUUGUAAAGCCCAUUUGUUGGGAAAGAAAAGCAGCAGGUUAAUACCCCGCUGUUCUGACGGUACCCAAAGAAUAAGCACCGGCUAACUUCGUG